UACAGAGGUGGCAAGCGUUGUUCGAAUUACUGGGCGUAAAGGGCGCGUAGGCGCCUUGUCAGUCAGACGUGAAAUCCCCAGGCUUAACCUGGGAACUGCGUCUGAUACUACAAGGCUGGAGUUCGGGAGAGGAAUGUGGAAUUCCAGGUGGUAAGCGGUUGAAAUGCGUAGAUAUCUGGAGGAACACCGGUGGCGAAGGCGGCAUUCUGGACCGAAACUGACGCUGAUGCGCGAAAGCCAGGGGAGCAACGGG
rnacentral:rRNA from 1 species